UUUGGAUAGUCCAGAACAAUAGAAUUUCUGAACACUUUAACAGCAUCAGCAUAUUUUUUGACUUCCUGUGCUGUUUCUUGGGUUGAACCACCUAUAUCUUUGUCGAUGGCCAAGACUCUUUGGUAAGUCUUGAUGUCCUGGAACUUCGAAAGCACUGAACUGUCAUCUGACUGAAUCAAAACUUUCUGAGUAGAUUGCUUAUCCAUUGUGGCGUUGCUCAAGGCAGUGGUGACAGCACCAACAAUGUCAAGACCCUUGUUUGAUGCUAGAUAGGCAGCAUUCUGAUUAAAAGAUCAAGUGUUAAUUAACUUGUGCACGGUUGAAGAGUAUAGUAUAAUCAUGAUGUUACAUGAGACGUGGGAUAUGUAAAACGUUUUACAAGGAACCUGGAAAUUAAAAUAUAUCUUGACAAAUGGAGUCCAUGAAAGAGUUUGAAGUGAAGUGAAUCUUACUUCAAUGUUAAUUAGAACUCCUGUAACUGCCCUAUUCUUAGCAAGAUCCAAGAAUUCAUUAAGAGUAACGAACUUUCCUGCAUUCUUGUUUGCAGGGUUUCGAGCAAGAGGGCCAUCAAAAACGCUUGCAAGUUGAGCUGAAAAGGGAGAAAAGCAUCAUAUGUCAAAAGCUUGAAAAGGUGUCAUAACCAUUUUACUAUUAAAUAAAGCGUUUUGCUUACGUUUUAGUGAUUGAAUUUCAGUCCAAGUGAGAUCAAAGGAGAAUAUUCCAUUCUUAUCUUGAAUUUCAGGUAUCCUGGUAGAUCGGUCCAUGAAAAGAGAUGCUGCAGUGGUUGUCCCUAUAAGAUCAGCAGAAGGCAAGCAGAAGGCGGUUCCAUCCUUGGACAGUUGAACAGAACAAUCGAUUAUCUCGGUUCCAUCAUCUAUGGCUUUCUGGUAUGCAAGAUCAGUCGACCCAGGGUAAUCUCCACUUGCUCCGUCGUGAGAUAUUAUCAAUGCUUUAAUGCAAGAAGACAACGAGUUAUUCCAUGCAGCAAUAGAUUGCAUAAUUUUGUUUUCCAAGACUAUGAAACGAUACAAAGUGUAACACUUCUUACCUUUUACAAUUUUGGGAGCAUUCUUGUUCUGGGCUAGGCAUGCUGCAACAUGAGCAGUUCUCAGGUCAGAACUAGAUCAGGUAAAACCAAGGAAGAAAGCUAAUGUAAAAUUUUGAGACAGUUUCAGUCAGUUUGACUUUUUGAUAGGUUUUGCAGUACUCUUCCUUUUGACUCAUUGAGAAAUAUAUUAUAGGAAUGGAGCAGAGAAAAAGCAUAAAUCUCACCAAUGGACUCUGAUGCGGUGGCAGGGAAAUCCGUAAUUACCCCGUCAACCGAAAACUGAGAAUUGUCUAUAAACUGCAGAUACUCCUUGGUUGGAUCAUAGCUAUAAUUAUAACUUAAGUAGUUAUCAUUUGCAAAGCCAGAAGCAUACACUUCAAGACCUGCUUUGUGGAAAUCAGAUACAGAACUCGUAGCAGGCAGCAAUAGCCUUCCACUAUCUACGGGCCAUAUGCUAUCUUUUGGAAGAAUAAUCCCGGAUGCAAAUGUCUUGAUCAUAUUUAUGUCUGACAGCAGUGUAACAUAUGUUUUUUUCGUUGUAG
rnacentral:lncRNA from 1 species